AUAGAAGUGGUAGCAUUUAAAAGUAACAUUUUCAUUUUGAUUAUAUUUUAAAAACGUUAAUUGAUAAUGUUUAAAAGCAUUUAAUGAUUUUCUGAUGAUUAUGACGAUAUUAUUUAAAUGCCAAUUUUAUGCAAAAUGUCAUGCAUGACCAUGAGCGAAUACUGUAUUUGUCAAUGAAGGACGUUGUAUCACGUGGUCUCGUCAUAUGAUUCUUAUGCUUACUAGUUAGUUGCUUAUGUCAAUGUGCAGCAUUAAGUUAUACGAGAGCAUAAGACUUUUUGGAAAUACAUUCACAAUUUCUGUUUCUUGAAGACAAUGUCUUAUCAUACGUUCGAAGGACGUGGUUUAUUUGGCGAUUCCUUUCGCAGAAUGAGUGGGUGUGGUCUUCAAAUGCCACAGAAAUGUCAUAGAUGGAGUUUUCUUCUCUUAUCUACUGUGAAUGCUGUAAUUGUAGUGGGUCUUUCAAUUGCUCAUCUGAUUUGCUCAUCAAACAGUAAAAUUUUAACAUUUAAAUAUGAUGCUGUAAUUCUAUUUAUUGGAGGUAAGUAAUAAAUUUUUUGUUAGUGUG
rnacentral:lncRNA from 1 species